GAAUGACCACCAACUAGGCCAGCAUGACAUUCAUUCAACACUUUGUCUCUCCAAGAGUGAAUCAAAGGUACGGCCUCCAUUGUUGGACCGCAAACACCACUGCCAUCAUCUCCUUGUCAUACACGGACAAAGCUCGAUGCUUUGGAGCUAACACUUUGCUUAAGAAAGCAAUGGGAUGAUUAUGUUGAGAUAGUAUGGCUCCAAUUCCCAAAUCAGAGGCAUCACAUUCAAUGGUGAAGUCUUUAGUAAAGUUAGGGAGGGCCAGAACUGGGGUUGUAGUCAUAGCUACUUUAAGAUCUUCAAAAGCUUUCUCACUUGCAGGAGACCAUUUGAAC